UAACAGGCUGUGAAGAAGAGGAGUAGGUAGUGUCACCUAAAAGAGAGGAAGGCCCAUAGGCUGAGAGGUCUUCUUAGGUUAAGCGCUAUCGAAGGUAGCUUCGGAGCCUUUCAUCUGAAGUAAAGUAGGAUGAAACGGGUAACCGUUAUCUAAAUGAGUGCUGCAAAGUGCAGAAUUAAGGUGGUACCGCGGUCCUUCGCCCUUAGU
rnacentral:ncRNA from 1 species